UGGGGAAUAUUGGACAAUGGGGGGAACCCUGAUCCAGCCAUGCCGCGUGUGUGAAGAAGGCCUUAUGGUUGUAAAGCACUUUAAGCGAGGAGGAGGGUACUGGUAUUAAUACUACCAGGUACUGGACGUUACUCGCAGAAUAAGCACCGGCUAACUCUGUGCCAGCAGCCGCGGUAAUACAGAGGGUGCAAGCGUUAAUCGGAAUUACUGGGCGUAAAGCGCGCGUAGGUGGUUCGUUAAGUUGAAUGUGAAAGCCCCGGGCUCAACCUGGGAACUGAAUCCAAAACUGGCGAGCUAGAUUAGGGCAGAGGGUGGUGGAAUUUCCUGUGUAGCGGUGAAAUGCGUAGAUAUAGGAAGGAACACCAGUGGAGAAGGCGACCACCUGGGCUCAUACUGACACUGAGGUGCGAAAGCGUGGGGAGCAAACAGG
rnacentral:rRNA from 1 species